CAGUAGCCACGGGAAUACAGAGGGUGCGAGCGUUAAUCGGAUUUACUGGGCGUAAAGCGUGCGUAGGCGGCUUUUUAAGUCGGAUGUGAAAUCCCUGAGCUUAACUUAGGAAUUGCAUUCGAUACUGGGAAGCUAGAGUAUGGGAGAGGAUGGUAGAAUUCCAGGUGUAGCGGUGAAAUGCGUAGAGAUCUGGAGGAAUACCGAUGGCGAAGGCAGCCAUCUGGCCUAAUACUGACGCUGAGGUACGAAAGCAUGGGGAGCAAACAGGAUUAGAUACCCGUGUAGUCCCUGUCUCUUAUAC
rnacentral:rRNA from 1 species